UUGACUUCAAAGUUGGUUGGAAGAAGCUAAAGGAAGUGUUCAGCAUAGCUGGAACUGUGAAGCGGGCAGAUAUUAAAGAAGACAAAGAUGGCAAGAGCAGAGGAAUGGGCACUGUCACUUUUGAGCAAGCAAUUGAAGCAGUUCAAGCAAUUUCUAUGUUCAAUGGGCAGUUUUUAUUUGAUAGACCUAUGCAUGUGAAAAUGGAUGACAAGUCUGUUCCUCAUGAAGAGUACCGUUCACAUGAUGGUAAAACACCACAAUUACCACGUGGUCUUGGAGGCAUUGGGAUGGGACUUGGUCCAGGUGGACAGCCUAUUAGUGCCAGCCAGUUGAACAUAGGUGGAGUAAUGGGAAAUUUAGGUCCAGGUGGUAUGGGAAUGGAUGGUCCAGGUUUUGGAGGAAUGAAUAGAAUUGGAGGAGGUAUGUAUAAAGAUUUGUUUUUUUGUAUGUACCCAUCACCAUUUUUAAUAAACUAGAAACUGUGUUGAGAAUUCCAUGGAAAAAAAGUCAUGGUUUAUUGUUGGCUCAUGUUCUAAA
rnacentral:sRNA from 1 species